AUGCUUGCUUCGGCAGCACAUGUACUAAAAUUGGAACGAUACAGAGAAGAUUAGCAUGGCACCUUUGCAAGGAUGACACACAAAUUUGUGAAAGUGUUCCAUAUUUUU
ensembl:snRNA U6 U6 spliceosomal RNA